rnacentral:rRNA from 1 species
UACGAGGGGAGCAAGCGUUGUUCGGAUUUACUGGGCGUAAAGGGCGCGUAGGCGGCGUGACUAGUCACUUGUGAAAUCUCCGGGCUUAACUCGGAACGGCCAAGUGAUACUGUCGUGCUAGAGUACAGAAGGGGCAACUGGAAUUCUCGGUGUAGCGGUGAAAUGCGUAGAUAUCGAGAGGAACACCUGCGGCGAAGGCGGGUUGCUGGGCUGAUACUGACGCUGAUGCGCGAAAGCCAGGGGAGCGAACGGG